rnacentral:rRNA from 1 species
UACAGAGACUGCAAGCGUUAUUCGGAUUCACUGGGCGUAAAGGGUGCGCAGGCGGCCAAGUGUGUUAGGCGUGAAAGCCCGGGGCUUAACCCCGGAAUUGCACCUAAAACUACUUGGCUAGAGCAUUGGAGAGGGUAGCGGAAUUCACGGUGUAGCAGUGAAAUGCGUAGAUAUCGUGAGGAACACCAGAGGCGAAGGCGGCUACCUGGACAAUUGCUGACGCUCAGGCACGAAAGCGUGGGGAGCAAACGGG